UCGAAAUAAACCUGAGCAGGCUGUUGCUAGUCCUAGACAUGUGCACGCCUGUCAUCUUUAUUUUUUUUUUUCCAACUGUGCACUUGUUGUAGACCUGGUUAUUAUUAUUGUUGGGAUAGAUUGAGGACUGCUGUGCUUCAUUGAGCAGCUUUGCCUUGCAUUUUCCAGGUCUAUGUCUUUUUACAUUUUUACAAAAUGGUGUUUUUGAAUGUGGGGAUAACAAAUAUA
rnacentral:misc_RNA from 1 species